rnacentral:rRNA from 1 species
AUAGUUGAUCCUGGCUCAGGACGAACGCUGGCGGCGUGCCUAAUACAUGCAAGUAGAACGCUGAAGCUUGGUGCUUGCACCGAGCGGAUGAGUUGCGAACGGGUGAGUAACGCGUAGGUAACCUGCCUCUUAGCGGGGGAUAACUAUUGGAAACGAUAGCUAAUACCGCAUAAAAGUCGAUAUCGCAUGAUAUUGAUUUGAAAGGUGCAAAUGCAUCACUAAGAGAUGGACCUGCGUUGUAUUAGCUAGUUGGUGAGGUAACGGCUCACCAAGGCGACGAUACAUAGCCGACCCGAGAGGGUGAUCGGCCACACUGGGACUGAGACACGGUCCAGACUCCUACGGGAGGCAGCAGUGGGGAAUAUUGCACAAUGGGCGCAAGCCUGAUGCAGCCAUGCCGCGUGUAUGAAGAAGGCCUUCGGGUUGUAAAGUACUUUCAGCGGGGAGGAAGGGAGUAAAGUUAAUACCUUUGCUCAUUGACGUUACCCGCAGAAGAAGCACCGGCUAACUCCGUGCCAGCAGCCGCGGUAAUACGGAGGGUGCAAGCGUUAAUCGGAAUUACUGGGCGUAAAGCGCACGCAGGCGGUUUGUUAAGUCAGAUGUGAAAUCCCCGGGCUCAACCUGGGAACU